UGGAGUGUAGCUUAGUGGUAGAGCACUUGCCUAGAAUGCAGGGGGCCCUGGGUUCCAUCCCCAACACUCUCC
rfam:Ictidomys tridecemlineatus contig031520, whole genome shotgun sequence.